AAAGGAAGAAGACGUUCACUGUUGUUGUGACUGUGGCGACAAGUGGACUUCUCCCUCUUUUCAUUUUCUUCAAAGUGUCGGAUUCAGCAAUUAGAAAGUCGCAACUUCGUCUGAUGGAAAUUAUGAAGUUAAGGAGCUGAGUCGCUGAGCAUAUAAUGACACUGAGAAGCAGCCAUGGGUGCUGAUAAUGUGCUGCUGUUCAUUCUGGUUUGGACUUUCACAGCUGUCUGUCAAGCUGAUGAUGAUGUCUGCAGUAUAAGCUGUGAGGAUGUGACUGGAAUUGUAGGAAAAGAAGUAAAUUUCACCUGCAACGUCUCUCAGAAGUGCUCUGAAUGCUGCAUUAGAAAGUAUAGGUUUCAAUACCCUGAGAAAUAUGACUCAACAAUCUGUAGAGAAGAUCUUCCUGAGGGCUCCUGUGAACAGAGAAACAGCUUCACAUGCAGAUACACUCCAACUACAGAAAUGAUGAGACA